rnacentral:rRNA from 1 species
UACGUAGGGGGCAAGCGUUGUCCGGAAUCACUGGGCGUAAAGCGUGCGUAGGCGGCUUUGCAAGUCAGGGGUGAAAUCCCACAGCUUAACUGUGGAACUGCCUUUGAAACUGCAUAGCUGGAGUGUCGGAGGGGAUAGCGGAAUUUCUAAUGUAGCGGUGAAAUGCGUAGAUAUUAGAAGGAACACCGGUGGCGAAGGCGGCUAUCUGGACGACAACUGACGCUGAGGCAUGAAAGCGUGGGGAUCAAACAGG